UACGGGAGGCAGCAGUGGGGAAUAUUGGACAAUGGGCGAAAGCCUGAUCCAGCCAUGCCGCGUGUGUGAAGAAGGUCUUCGGAUUGUAAAGCACUUUAAGUUGGGAGGAAGGGCAGUAAGUUAAUACCUUGCUGUUUUUGACGUUACCAACAGAAUAAGCACCGGCUAACUUCGUGCCAGCAGCCGCGGUAAUACGAAGGGUGCAAGCGUUAAUCGGAAUUACUGGGCGUAAAGCGCGCGUAGGUGGUUCGUUAAAGUUGGAUGUGAAAGCCCCGGGCUCAACCUGGGAACUGCAUCCAAAACUGGCGAGCUAGAGUAUGGCAGAGGGUAGUGGAAUUUUCCUGUGUAGCGGUGAAAUGCGUAGAUAUAGGAAGGAACACCAGUGGCGAAGGCGACCACCUGGGCUAAUACUGACACUGAGGUGCGAAAGCGUGGGGAGCAAACAGGGAUUAGAUACC
rnacentral:rRNA from 1 species